CUUUAAAGAAAUGUCCUAUAGGGAAAGUCCAGCUUCAAAUCUGACUUCUAACUCCCUCAUCUUAGAGUUCUCGUUAGAGCAGAAGAGUUGUAGGUCUGGUUGAAAGACCGUGGAAGGUAGCAGAUGCUAGACUUGUUCUUGAGGAUGGUUCAAUUUGGAGGGCAAAAUCAUUUGGUGCUUCUGGAACACAAAUUGGAGAAGUGGUUUUUAAUACAUCUUUAACUGGAAAUUUCUUCUCCGGGCAGAUGAUGAAGAAUCAAGACAGUGCUUUCUUGCAGGAUUAGCUAUUAGAAGUUUAAGUAUCAGACACUUGGUGACUAUUUGGCUGAAAGGAACAUCAUGGGUAUAUAUGAUGCCGAUACUCGAGCGAUUACACUAAGAUUAAGAGAAUAAGGAAGCCUAAUUGGAGUCUUGAGCACGGAGAAUUCCAAAAGUGACAAAGAACUUCUAGAAUCCCAUACAUGGGGUAUUGUCGGUGUGGAUUUAAUCAGUGGUGUUUCAUGCAAGUCUCCUUAUGAAUGGCUAGGUGGAACAGCCUCAGCUUGAGAUUUUAAUGACAAUGCAAGAAAUAAACAAACUUUCAAUGCGGUUAGCAUCUUAUGGCUGUAAAAUCACUGUUGUUCCUUCAACAUGGCCAGCGUCUGAAAUCCUAAAGAUGAGACCGGAUGGAGUUCUUUUCAGCAGAUCAUUAUGUCAUUCCUUAUGCAGUUGAGACGGUAAAAAACCUUACUGGAAAAAUUUCAGUUUUUGGCAUUUGCAUGGGUCACCAGUUGCUUGGUCAAGCACGGGGGGUAACAUAUUCAAAAUGAAAAUUUGGUCACCAUGGAGGAAACCAUCGAGUCCGAAACCUUCGAAAUGGUAGCGUUGAGAUUAGUGCUCAGGCAUGUUCAAUAGCAAAACUCUAGUGAUUGCUUUGUGUCAAUUUCCAUUUUUCUGUACAAUUCAACCUCAGUUCAUCAACGUAGUGUUCACUUUUAAUAUUCUUGAAUUUUUAUAAUCUUGAUUGCUUUCCAUAUGCAGAAUCACAACUAUGCUGCUAACCCUGAGUCUCUUCCGGAGGGUGUAGAGGUGACUCGUUUAAAUUUAAAUGAUGGAAGUUGUGCAGGUCUUGCCAACUUCCAAAUGAAGUUGAUGUCACUUCAAUACCAUCCUGAAGCAUCUCCAGGACCCCAUGAUUCAGAUCCUCGUAAAGAGUUUUCCUUACUCAAUGGCCCUUGCAUAAAUGUCUGCCCUUUUUUUGUGUGGAUAAAGUAACAAAUCUCUGCCAGUUUGUUCAGUUCUAAAGUAUUUGAGUCAAGCUGCAAAAUUACCUCAAGAUUCUUAUAGUAUUCUUCUAUCUCUAUCAUGCAGUAUUUGGGGAAUUUAUACAACUUAUGAAGCAAGAAAAAGUGAAGGCAUAAGCCCCCCGAGUGUUGAUCGGUAGUUGGUAAGAUAAGCUUGAGGGAACCACAUUCCUAAGGGUAGUGAUGGCGCUGAAAAAAGAAAAGAAUUCUGAUGAGAUUUGCAUUCAAAUCAAAACAAUCCUGGAUUUGUCGAAAUAUCAUGUUGCACCUUCUCACUUUACAUUGAUGGACAUAUACACGAUUCUAAGUUGUGAGAAGCGGUUGAUUACUCAUCUGUUUCUAGAAAAAAUCAAAGAAUUUCUUGGGAGUCCUACCUGAUUCUGUUCGUUCAUUUCUCUGAUAGAUGAUUGGAACUUCAUUUGGGUUCAAUCCUACUGAGAGGUUCACUAAAGAUUAGAAAUUGUUGAAGCAACAACGAGAUCUUUCUUUUGUCCCUUACAGGGCUUGUCUUUAAGAAGUUGACUUCUAUGUAGCUCAGCUGCAGAGGAUAGUAAAAUCUGUGCCUUAAUCUAGUCUAAUGACUUGCUAAAUGUUUUGGUUUGUGUAAUGGUUCUUUGUGGAUUGUUUUAGUAUUAAGUAAUCACAUUAUGCAGUUUUGUCACUAAUGUGUAUUGAUAUAUGUUACUAUAUUUGUUUUGUACAUCUGCUAUUUUGCUGUCCCUUUUUCUUUCUUACGUUUUUGAAUCGGUUACAUUUCUUUUGAGCCGAGGGUCUAUCGGAAACAGCCUCUCAAUCCCAUCAAGGUAGAGGUAAGGUCUG